GCUCCUAUGGCGCAGUGGUAACGCGUCGCACUUGUACCAUCUUGCAAUGCGAAGAUCUCUAGUUCGACUCUGGAUGGGAGCA
rfam:Cochliobolus heterostrophus C5 unplaced genomic scaffold COCHEscaffold_3, whole genome shotgun sequence.